AUAGUUUAUUAAACUGAGUCUUAGUUGAUGAUCGGAGAAUUAUUUCAUCCAGUGAGCGGCCAUGGCAGUCACCUGAAGAAAGUUCCAAGUUCAACGGAAGACUGCAUUCGUGCUCUCUUCUCGACCACCACAGCGUUGCAACGGCAACGUCAAUCAUCUCUAGGUUUUACAACUCCGACGACGAUUUUCGUGAACUCCGUCGACAAAUGACAGCCAUGGCGGGUUUCAGCGUCCGAGCCUCGAUUCAGCUUCAACUUAGAGCUCUUUCAAUAUUCUGGGUGAAGAAGAGCGGCGUUGUUACUUGCUUGAAUGCUAGAGUGUAUAGCUCGUCAGGUCCUGUUAGGUAUACUCCAAAAAGGUCUUUGAAUGAUAAGAAAUCAAGAACACCUUCGACACCGGAAAUUGUAAAUGGAAACGAUUUCAGUAGUAAGUUGGAUGUUAAUUCUCCGAGGAUUGAGGUUAAACAUCGGGGUGCAGUACGGAGAAGUAAUUUUUGUGAUAAAUUUCGUGAUCAAAAUCCGAACGAGAAGAAGAACUAUUCAGCUGGUGGAAGUAUGGCAGGACUUGAAGAUGAAUUUCAUGACAAUUUGAGCUAUGUUGAUGAUCACUUGCAAGAGCCUAAGGCAGUAUGUGAGACGGAAAAUAUUUACGGCAAGAAACGUUAUGAUGGAAAGGUUGAUUUGCGGGGAAAUAAAAGCAGGCAAGAUGCUGAGAAAUUGGCAAUUGAAUUACUUGCAACAAGAGCCUUCACUGCAGUUGAGCUGAGGAAGAAAUUGCUUGGCAAGAGGUUCUCUCUGGACACAGCGGAAGCAGUGAUCAAUGAUUUUAAGAGCAGGGGGUUGAUCAACGAUGGCCUGUAUGCUGAAGGAUUUUCUCAUUCAAGGUGGUCGUCCUCCAGUUGGGGACCCAGGAAGAUCAAGCAGGGUCGAUUGAAUCAUCACCGGCUUUUCCGCCUUGGGGUCAUCGGCAGCAGCUUUCCCCAAUUCGACACUUCGAAUCUCCUCGAGCAUGGCGACUAUACUUUUCAUGGGGGGUCGAUCGUCGGACUUGACGCUGACACAGAUCAACGCGACGUCUAGGGUUUGAAGAAUUUCGCGCAUUGUGGGUUCGGUUCUUUCUCUGAGCUUCGAGUCUAAAAUGUCGGCUGGGUUUUUCUUUGUGGCUAAAUGGUCUCUAACCCAUUGCGCCAAAUUACCUUCUCCUGGUAAUGUCGGGUCCAGAGGGUGCCGCCCUGUUAGAACCUCCAUUACCACUAUACCGAAGCUGUACACAUCGCUCUUCUCUGAGACUGUCAAUAUCGACCCAUGUUCUGUAAUCACCAGGUAAUUAUGAAUCCAUGGGGUUUAUUUGCCAAAGGGUUUGGAAAGGGGGGUUAGAAAUGAACAUACCUGGGGCCAUGUACCCGAAAGAGCCAGCAAGUUGUCUGAGUAUUGGCGUCUUUGAAGCAUCAUUGCCGUUGUUUGUACUCACAUUGCUGGCGAGACCAAAGUCGGCUAGGUAUGGCUCAAAGUCAUGGCCGAGCAGGACAUUCAGUGUUUUCACAUCGCCAUGUACGAUUGGUGGAGUACAAUCAUGGUGAAGAUAAGCUAGAGCAUGAGCCACUCCUAAGAGGAUUUCGUAUCUGGCCUCCCAUUCUGCUCCUCCUUUUCCAGUGUCAUGGAUAAAAGAGCUCAAGCUUCCAUUUGGAAGAUAAUCAUAAAACAGGAGCUUCAAAUUCCUGUGGGAUCCCCAACCCAGCAGCCUUAUUAUGUUCUUGUGUCGAAUUAAUCCCAAAGUACGGAUUUCAGAGUUGAAGCCUCCAGAUUCGUCGGUUGACCACAUUUUCUUCACUGCCACUGUUUUCCCUUUUGGGGUUGUGAUUCUGUACACGGCACCGGAGCUUCCAGCACCGAUCACGUUCGAUUCAGUUAAGUUUUUAAUGAUAUAGUCGAUUGAGAUAUCAAGUUUUUGAAACAGGGUUAUUUCCCAUUUAUCGCCAUCUAUCAGUAGCAUGAAAUUAGCCAUUUGUGUGCGAAUUAGCAAGUAGAUCACUAAAAAGAAAAGCACUGCACUUAUGCUGAUCAAGAUUGGCAGGACUAUCUUUAUUGCUUCUUUGCUUACGUUUCUGGAUUCAAACUUGCCUUCAGGAAUUACUUGCUCACCUGCAACAUAGAGGUCUUUGUUUCCAGCAAUGGCGCUUUUACUGAGCUUUUGAAAGAAUGGCGUGUCGGGCAAUUCGCCGGAGAAGUGGUUGUAGGAGAUGUUUAGAGUCACAAGGUUUUCAAGCUCUACAAGAAGGUUUAGGUCCCCAGAGAGGUUGUUAUGGGAGAGGUCUAGAAUACUUAGCCUGACGAGACCAGAGAAUUCGGAUGGGAUUUCACCUGAGAAAUGAUUCCAACUUAGAUUAAGAGCAAUGUCAAGUGAAGAAAUUAUACCUAAUUGCUUAGGGAGUUCCCCAGAGAAGAAAUUGUUGCUGAGGUCUAAAAAUUGAAGCUUUUGACAGGAAACAAUUUCUGCUGGGAUUUGCCCUGAAAGUUGGUUGUUUCUCAGGUCAAGUUUUGUUAGUUCCGUCAAAGCUCCGAUGCCCGGGUUGACCUGACCUUCAAGCCUGUUGUUGGAUAUAUUUAAAAACUGUAGGCUCAUCGGCAGUUCGAUUGGAAGAGUACCAGUGAACUCAUUUGAACUGAGGUCAAUAAACUGAAGAACGUCACAGUUUGAUAACGAUUGUGGAAUUUCUCCAACAAAAUGGUUUUCAGCUAAGUCCAGAAAAUCUAAGCUCUUCAAAUAUCCCAUCUCUGAUGGAAUAGUACCUCCAAACCUAUUCUUAGCCAGUCGAAACCUCGAUAGUGUCCUACUAUGUCCUAUUUCAGGUGGAAUGAUCCCCGAUAGAUUAUUUCGUAUGAGAAGAAGUUUCGUGAGAUUUUUCAAACCGAAAAUCUCUUUCGGUAUUGAACCCGUUAAGUGAUUGUACGAGAAAUCAAUGGCCUGGAGAUCAGGGCAGUCUGAGAGAGUUCUGGGAAUACUGCCUGUUAAUUUGUUCUCCCAAGCAAAAAAUAAAUGCAAGUUCUUAAGGUUGCCUACCGAAACCGGUAUCUCGCCCGAAAGUUUGUUGUUGUCUACUUCCACAUGAACCAAAGUCGAACAAUUAAACAUUUCCGGAGGUAGUGAACCCGUAAUCUGAUUAAGACUUAGUUGAAACUCUUGAAGUUUAGGUAGCCGUCCUAUACUUUUUGGUAUGGUUCCAUUUAGAAGAUUUUCGGAAACGUCUAGGAUUACGAGUUCCUCACAGUCUCCAAUCUCUUCUGGUAUAGAUUCUUCCAACAAGUUCAACCAUAGAAAAAGUGUUUGAAGCUUUUUCAGCUUCCCAAUUCCUCUAGGUAUCCGCCCAGAAAUACUAUUCUGAUACAAUAUAAGAGUUUGCAACUCACUGCAGUUUCCGAUCUCUUCCGGGAUUGUGUUGAAAAGUUGUGCUUUAUAUAUGACUAUGUUCUGUAUGUUUUUCAGCAUCCCAAUCGAUGAAGGAAGAGCUCCGAAGAUUCCGGUUUCGGCUAGGCCUAACAUGACUAAACUGCUGCAGUUUCCAAUCUCCAUUGGCAAUUUACCUUCCAGAAGUUUAUUCCCUCCAGCUCUGAAAAGAUUAAGCUUCUGCAACAUUCCAAUGCUCUUAGGAAUCUCCCCACGGAUUUCAUUGUCUGCAAGUCUAAGAUACACGAGGUUCGAAAGAUUCCCAAUCGUUAACGGUAUCGUUCCUUCAAACCCAUUACUUUGAAGGGACAAAUCCUCCAGCUUCCCCAGCCUGCAAAUCUCUUCUGGGAUUUCUCCCAAAAGGUUAUUUUGGCUAAGAUCAAGAACUCUGAGCUCGUUAUAAUCUCCAAACUCUUUCGGGAUUCUUCCUGUUAUAUUCGUCUCAGAUAUCACCAGGGUCCUCAAGAACUUAAGAGCCUGAAAAUUCGAUGGCAAUGUACCUCGCAAAUCCAGUGCUGCCAGGGUUAUCUCCACUACAUAUCCAUGGGAGUCGCAGACAACUCCAAACCAUGAACACGGUGUCGGGUCCUCCGGAUUCCAUGUACUCAAAGCAUCUGUAGAGCUUGUUAGAUUACUCUUCCAUGUGAGAAGAGCUCUACCCUGCUCAUCAAUGGAGUAACAACAUGGAAAGAGACGGAUACUUAGUGAUAAAAUCAAGGCUAUGGUGAAGAAUUGAGAAGGAAUAAAGGGAUUUCUUAGAAUUGCAGCCAUUGUUCUUCAAAACUUAUGAUACAAAAUGAUCUGAUUUGGAUUGAACAAAGGGGAAAUCCAUGUUUUGUUUAUAGGAGAAGAAGAAAAAUAAGAACAGAGGUGCAUUCCACGUGUCGUGUUCGAUACGAGAAUAUGUUGAUGCUACGAUUGAGAAAAAUCGAAAGAUCAGGGGUAAGUUUAAAAAUUUUAAAAGAUU